UACGUAGGGUGCAAGCGUUUGUCCGGAAUCAUUGGGCGUAAAGCGCGCGUAGGUGGCCAUUUAAGUCCGCUGUGAAAGUCAAAGGCUCAACCUUUGAAAGCCGGUGGAUACUGGAUGGCUAGAGUACGGAAGAGGCGAGUGGAAUUCCUGGUGUAGCGGUGGAAUGCGCAGAUAUCAGGAGGAACACCAAUAGCGAAGGCAGCUCGCUGGGACGUUUACUGACACUGAGGCGCGAAAGCGUGGGGAGCGAACAGG
rnacentral:rRNA from 1 species